rnacentral:misc_RNA from 1 species
GAAAUGCGAUAAGUAGUGUGAAUUGCAGAAUUCAGUGAAUCAUCGAAUCUUUGAACGCACAUUGCGCCCCUUGGUAUUCCAUGGGGCAUGCUUGUUCGAGCGUCAUUUGUACCCUCAAGCUUUGCUUGGUGUUGGGUGUUUGUCCUUUCCCUGGUGUUUGGACUCGCCUUAAAUUCAUUGGCAGCCGGUGUAUUGGUUUGAAGCGCAGCACAAUUUGCGAUUCUCGCCAGCUAUAUCAGCGUCCACUAAGCAACAUAACACUUUUGACCUCGGAUCAAGUAGGGAUACCCGCUGAACUUAA